rnacentral:rRNA from 1 species
AGCGAACGCUGGCGGCAGGCCUAACACAUGCAAGUCGAACGGAUCCUUCGAGAUUAGUGGCGGACGGGUGAGUAACACGUGGGAACGUGCCCUUUGGUUCGGAACAACUCAGGGAAACUUGAGCUAAUACCGGAUGAGCCCUUCGGGGGAAAGAUUUAUCGCCAUUGGAGCGGCCCGCGUCUGAUUAGCUAGUUGGUGAGGUAAAGGCUCACCAAGGCGACGAUCAGUAGCUGGUCUGAGAGGAUGAUCAGCCACAUUGGGACUGAGACACGACCCAAACUCCUACGGGAGGCAGCAGUGGGGAAUCUUGCGCAAUGGGCGAAAGCCUGACGCAGCCAUGCCGCGUGAAUGAUGAAGGUCUUAGGAUUGUAAAAUUCUUUCACCGGGGACGAUAAUGACGGUACCCGGAGAAGAAGCCCCGGCUAACUUCGUGCCAGCAGCCGCCGUAAGAC